GUGGGCCUCCGUGAUGUGCAAAGAUUGUAAGUACAUCAUGUGCCGGCCAGACAUUUAAUUAGUUGCGUGGGCUCCGGAGGGCAGUCGUCAGGUAACAUCAGCUUCUACAGGAUUCGCAGGGUGCACCAUCUAGAAAAUAAUAAUCGCAGAGUGCGCGUGGUUCAACUGGUCAUCCCCUACGCCUCGUAGUAUAAGCGGAAGUGAGGUCGCCAUGGAUGGGGAUGGAGUUCUUCUUCGAGGAGAUUGAAUCGGGAUUUGUUCCUCGAUUGGACGCCGGGAUUCUCUUAAGAGAGUGUUCCUGAUGGACAAACAGGAUCCAUGGUGUCCGUGUUUGUCGGAUUUCUUCCGAGACGGGCGAGGGGGAGGAUACGCUCGGGAAAUAGAAGUGGACAAGCAAACGGAAGAAAUGAUCCUCACGGAAAAAAUUACAGGCUCAUAGGAUGCUAAUGCGCGCGCGCGUCACAGCGAGCGAUUUCCGACCAGGAUAAGAAUUGGUAAAGCUGCUGAGGAGAGGAGAGCAACGCCAACCCUAGCAGAGUGCCUUCCCUGGAGGCUUCAGUUCGUGCUUAUGCUGAUAAGUAGACAUGUUGUGUUGUUAAUCCACAAGUUGGUACUAACUUCGAUUCUGUUGAAGAGGCGUACAAAUUUGACAACGUAUACUCCUCGGAGACUGGUUUUGAAUAGCCGGUUGUAUGUCCAUAAAAAGAAAUGCAUGCAACAGAUCGUGUGGGCAUGCACGGUGAGCAGCUGAUGAUUUUUGUGAAUGAGACCAUGCUUGAUUUUGUGUGCCCAUUAGGGAUUAGAAGACGCACGGCACAUGAGUAACUGAUGAUAAAUACGCCUGCACUAAAUACAUGCACUUCGGCAUUUCUUGUUGAAUCCAUGGGUGAUUGAGGUAUCCGGGUGAUUGACACAAAAGAUUUUUUAUGUUUGUAAUUGAGUGAUUCUUUGGGUCAGUCUAAUAAUUAGUUCUCAAUCAAGAUUUUUGUUUUGUUUUGUACAUUUGUUGUUGUUUUAGUCUGUUUUUGGACGAUUCUGUGCUAUUUUGGCCAAAUGUACU